rnacentral:rRNA from 1 species
UACGUAGGGUGCAAGCGUUGUUCGGAAUCACUGGGCGUAAAGGGCGUGUAGGCGGAGAGGUCAGUCAGAGGUGAAAGCCUGGGGCUCAACCCCAGAAGUGCUUCUGAAACUGCCUUUCUUGAGAGAGUCAGGGGUCAAUGGAAUUCCUGGUGUAGAGGUGAAAUUCGUAGAUAUCAGGAGGAACACCGGUGGCGAAAGCGGUUGACUGGGGCUACUCUGACGCUGAGGCGCGAAAGCAUGGGGAGCAAACAGG